rfam:Triticum urartu cultivar G1812 contig946886, whole genome shotgun sequence.
UGGCAAUGAUUAUUAUCUUUCCCGUGUUUCUGAUUUAACUCCUGAAGUAUAAGGGAAAACAUGGUUGAAUUUCUUAAAGCCA